rnacentral:misc_RNA from 1 species
GAAAGCAAGCGUCAAGAAGCACUACGUCUGGCAAUGGAACUGGGAUCAGAUUUUAUUGAUGUUGAGCUAAAGGUAGCUCAAGGGUUCUUCAGUUCCAUUCAAGGGAAGAAACCUGAAAAGGUCAAGAUUAUUGUUUCUUCUCACAAUUAUGAAAGUACUCCAUCCAUUGAGGAGAUUGGAGAGCUUGUUGCCAGAAUUCAAGCCACAGGAGCUGAUAUAGUGAAAAUUGCAACAACAGCUUUAGACAUCACAGA